AGUGAACGCUGGCGGUAGGCCUGACACAUGCAAGUCGAACGGCAGCACAGGAGAGCUUGCUCUCUGGGUGGCGAGUGGCGGACGGGUGAGGAAUACAUCGGAAUCUACUUUUUCGUGGGGGAUAACGUAGGGAAACUCACGCUAAUACCGCAUACGACCUACGGGUGAAAGCAGGGGAUCUUCGGACCUUGCGCGAUUGAAUGAGCCGAUGUAGGAUUAGCUAGUUGGCGGGGUAAAGGCCCACCAAGGCGACGAUCCGUAGCUGGUCUGAGAGGAUGAUCAGCCACACUGGAACUGAGACACGGUCCAGACUCCUACGGGAGGCAGCAGUGGGGAAUAUUGGACAAUGGGCGCAAGCCUGAUCCAGCCAUACCGCGUGGGUGAAGAAGGCCUUCGGGUUGUAAAGCCCUUUUGUUGGGAAAGAAAUCCAGCUGGUUAAUACCCGGUUGGGAUGACGGUACCCAAAGAAUAAGCACCGGCUAACUUCGUGCCAGCCGCCGCAGUAA
rnacentral:rRNA from 1 species